rnacentral:rRNA from 1 species
GACGAACGCUGGCGGCGUGCUUAACACAUGCAAGUCGAACGGUAAGGCCUUUCGGGGUCAUACGAGUGGCGAACGGGUGAGUAACACGUGAGCAACCUGCCCUUGACUUCGGAAUACCAGCUGGAAACAGCUGCUAAUACCGGAUAUGACCUCGGCCCUCAUGGGUUGGGGUGGAAAGCUCCGGCGGUCAGGGAUGGGCUCGCGGCCUAUCAGCUUGUUGGUGAGGUAAUGGCUCACCAAGGCUUCGACGGGUAGCCGGCCUGAGAGGGCGACCGGCCACACUGGGACUGAGAUACGGCCCAGACUCCUACGGGUGGCAG